GACGAACGCUGGCGGCGUGCUUAACACAUGCAAGUCGAACGGAAAGGCCCUGCUUUCAGGGUGCUCGCGUUGCGAACGGGUGAGUAACACGUGCGUGAUCUGCCCCUUACUUUGGGAUAAGCCUGGGAAACUGGGUCUAAUACUGGAUAGGACCAUUCUUUAGGUGGUGUGGUGGAUAGAUUAGUUUCGGUAAGGGAUGAGCUCGCGGCCUAUCAGCUUGUUGGUGGGGUAAUGGCCUACCAAGGCGUCGACGGGUAGCCGGCCUGAGAGGGUGGACGGCCAGAUUGAGACUGAGAUACGGCCCAGAAGUAUACGGGAGGCAGCAGUGGGGUAUAUUGCACAAUGGGAGCAAGCCUGAUGCAGCGACGCCGCGUGGGGGAUGAAGGCCUUCGGGUUGUAAACUCCUUUCAGCCAUGACGAAGCCCUUGUGGUGACGGUAGUGGUAGAAGAAGCACCGGCUAACUACGUG
rnacentral:rRNA from 1 species